rnacentral:rRNA from 1 species
AUUCCAGCUCCAAUAGCGUAUAUUAAAGUUGUUGCGGUUAAAAAGCUCGUAGUUGGAUUUCUGCUGAGGACGACUGGUCCGCCCCCUGGGUGAGCAUCUGGUUCGGCCUGGGCAUCUUCUUGGGGAACGUAUCUGCACUUGAUUGUGUGGUGCGGUAUCCAGGACUUUUACUUUGAGGAAAUUAGAGUGUUUCAAGCAGGCCCGCGCCUUGAAUACAUUAGCAUGGAAUAAUAAGAUAGGACCUCGGUUCUAUUUUGUUGGUUUCUAGAGCUGAGGUAAUGAUUAAUAGGGAUAGUUGGGGGCAUUAGUAUUUAUUAGCUAGAGGCGGAAUUCUCUAAUUUGAUAAAGACUAACUUAUGCGAAAGCAUUUGCCAAGGAUGUUUUCAUCA